UACGGAGGGUGCAAGCGUUGUUCGGAUUUACUGGGCGUAAAGCGCGUGUAGGCGGUGGCGUAAGUCGGAUGUGAAAUCCCUCGGCUCAACCGAGGACGUGCAUCCGAUACUGCGUCACUUGAGUGUCGGAGGGGAUGGCGGAAUUCCCGGUGUAGAGGUGAAAUUCGUAGAUAUCGGGAGGAACACCUGUGGCGAAGGCGGCCAUCUGGCCCGUAACUGACGCUGAGGCACGAAAGCGUGGGGAGCAAACAGG
rnacentral:rRNA from 1 species